CAGCAGCCGCGGGAAUACAGAGGGUGCAAGCGUUAAUCGGAAUUACUGGGCGUAAAGCGCGCGUAGGUGGUUCGUUAAGUUGGAUGUGAAAUACCCGGGCUCAACCUGGGAACUGCAUCCAAAACUGGCGAGCUAGAGUAGGGCAGAGGGUGGUGGAAUUUCCUGUGUAGCGGUGAAAUGCGUAGAUAUAGGAAGGAACACCAGUGGCGAAGGCGACCACCUGGACUGAUACUGACACUGAGGUGCGAAAGCGUGGGGAGCAAACAGGAUUAGAUACCCCUGUAGUCCCUGUCUUUUAUAC
rnacentral:rRNA from 1 species